GCUCCUAGCGCGUUCUCCUUCUCCUCUCCCCAUCUCACGAUGGCGCCCUCCCUCUCCUCCCUCU
rnacentral:tRNA from 1 species